UGGGGAAUUUUGGACAAUGGGCGAAAGCCUGAUCCAGCAAUGCCGCGUGUGUGAAGAAGGCCUUCGGGUUGUAAGCACUUUUGUCCGGAAAGAAAUCCUCUGGGUUAAUACCUCGGGGGGAUGACGGUACCGGAAGAAUAAGCACCGGCUAACUACGUGCCAGCAGCCGCGGUAAUACGUAGGGUGCAAGCGUUAAUCGGAAUUACUGGGCGUAAAGCGUGCGCAGGCGGUUUUGUAAGACGGAUGUGAAAUCCCCGGGCUUAACCUGGGAACUGCAUUCGUGACUGCAAGGCUAGAGUAUGGCAGAGGGGGGUAGAAUUCCACGUGUAGCAGUGAAAUGCGUAGAGAUGUGGAGGAAUACCGAUGGCGAAGGCAGCCCCCUGGGCCAAUACUGACGCUCAUGCACGAAAGCGUGGGGAGCAAACAGGAUUAGAUAACCCUGGUAGUCCACGCCCUAAACGAUGUCAACUAGUUGUUGGGGAUUCAUUUCCUUAGUAACGUAGCUAACGCGUGAAGUUGACCGCCUGGGGAGUACGGUCG
rnacentral:rRNA from 1 species